UACGGGGGGGGCAAGCGUUGUUCGGAAUUACUGGGCGUAAAGGGCUCGUAGGUGGCCAACUAAGUCAGACGUGAAAUCCCUCAGCUUAACUGGGGAACUGCGUCUGAUACUGGAUGGCUUGAGUUUGGGAGAGGGAUGCGGAAUUCCAGGUGUAGCGGUGAAAUGCGUAGAUAUUGGGAAGAACACCGGUGGCGAAGGCGGCUCACUGGCCCGGUACUGACGCUGAGGUGCGAAAGCGUGGGGAGCAAACAGG
rnacentral:rRNA from 1 species